rnacentral:rRNA from 1 species
AUUGAACGCUGGCGGCAGGCCUAACACAUGCAAGUCGAACGAGGGGCGGAGGGGUGAGUAAUGUCGGGAAAACUGCCUGAUGGAGGGGGAAAACUACUGGAAACUGUAGAUAAUACCGCAUACCAUGAGAUGUGCCCCAAUGGGAAUAGCUAGUGGGUGGGGUAACGGCUCACCAAGGCGACGAUCCCUAGCUGGUCUGAGAGGAUGACCAGCCACACUGGAACUGAGACACGGUCCAGACUCCUACGGGAGGCAGCAGUGGGGAAUAUUGCACAAUGGGCGCAAGCCUGAUGCAGCCAUGCCGCGUGUAUGAAGAAGGCCUUCGGGUUGUAAAGUACUUUCAGCGGGGAGGCGUUACCCGCAGAAGAAGCACCGGCUAACUCCGUGCCAGCAGCCGCGGUAAUAC